UAAGAAAUAUUAAAAAGGAUUUUCUUCUUAUGCAGACUCCUUUCUUCUAUUAACAUAAAAGGGUCUUCAUUUUUAAUAUAUAAUACUUCACUUACAGUAAUAAAAUCUAACACAAACUAAAUUUAUAAAAAGAAGAGAACAGAGAUGAGUAAAAAGUGCAAGGAAAAAGAGAGAAAAGUAAGAAUAAAGAAAAAGAAAUAUUAUAUAUAAAUAUCAAUACUUUAUGACUUCUGAUCUUCAUCACAAAACAAAUCUAGUAACUCUUUACCACCUCUAAAAUUAAACAUUUAUCCCCUCAUCUCAUAUCCUAUCACUUAUUUAUAAAUAUAUCAUAAAACAUAUUUCAGUCUUGGUAUCAGCAGAAAGUCCAUAAAGGGCAGUCAAAAUAACAUCUUAGUUUAACCAUGUUUAAAUUUGUUCUGAAGAUUUCUAGUAGCUUAGUGAGUUUUACGAACUUAGUAUCCUUUAAAGAAGCCCUGUCACAGUUAUGAGCAAGAAGGCCGAUUCCAUUGUCUCUGGUGCUCAAAUGUGUGGAAAAUCACUGUUCUGCAAUCUUCUUGCCAGGAGCAACUGUCUGGAAUACAUGUGGCUAAUCUCUCAUCUCCUCCUUAUCCAGAGAGAUCCAAGGAAUUAAUCUAUUCAUCAGUUCAUUGGUUUUUGCCCCAGCUAUUUGUUCUACUUUUGCAGAGCUGUUUUCAGUUCAAUACUGCCCCCAGAAAUUUCAGGAACUAUUUUCCUGAAUUCGCUGACUAGAAAUGCAAUGCUUUAUGUAUAAAAUACAUGGUACAAGAAAACUAUAUACUGUUUUAAUAAUUAACAUUCUUCAGAAGUAUUGAACUCUAAAGAAACAAAUUACCCAUGUUUGACAUUUCAGAAUAUCAUUCUUUUUCCUUCCCCAAAUACAUUUUUAGUUUUCUUUGCUUUCUUAAAUUGUUUUUUUCUGUAGCUCUAGAUGUACAGGAAAAAUUUCUCUAAGUUGGUAUAAAUUCAAUCAUAAUAAACAAUUCUAUCUUGUAUCCAUCCAAUUGGCCACUAUUAUAAUAUUCUUCUUACUGACUUUCACCUAGUGGCAAUUUCAAUUCUAGCGGUCAUCAAGAACAAAAAACCAAUUUCCCUUUCCUUUACCUUAACAAUAUCCUUUGUGUAACCUAACAAAGAUCUUAAUAGUUUUAAUCACAUUCUGUAAUAUCCUUUAACUGUUUUAAUGGCUGUUUGCCAUAAUAUUUAACUUUCAACAAUGCUAUCAUCUGUGAAUACCAUCUACUCUGUUAUCUCCUAUAGCAUCAACACAGUUUAGAGUCCUGUACUUUAUUUAAAGAACUAUAUAAUUAUUUUCCUAAAGUUAUUUGACAACAGAGAGCCAGUGUGGCAUAGCAGUUAAGUUGCUGGUCCAGACUCUAAGCCAAUGACUCUGAGCCAAUGACUUCCCCUCAGCCAAACCUACGUUAUAUGAUUACUGUUGUGGGGAAUAUGCCUCUUUGCCUAAGGUGCCCUGAGCUCUUGAAAAAAUUGAGAACAAUUACAUUCUAUUUUAUCAAGCAUUGUGUACUUUAUACACUUAAGAAGGUAUCAUGCCAUAGUGCAAUGAAUCAUAUAGAUAACUUGAUAGAAAAAGUUUAUAUAACCGACAAAGUAUAAAAAGAAAAAAUGAGAAGAAUAGAAAAAAGCUCAGGAAUAAAACAAAAAUAGUCCAAUAAUUCAUGCUAGACAAUUGCAGUUAUAGUUGGGAAUGAAAACCAAAGGAAGAAACCAAAAAGCACUUUACAAUAUAUAAAGUUAUUUUUAAGAGAUUCUUAUUUGUCCAAUGCUCUGUCUAUUCUCCAUCCCAAGAUACUGAAAAGCCUCUCAAUUCUGAUUUGCAACUUUAAAAAUUAUAAAUGCUUGUUACAUUAUGGCUAUAGCACAGAGUAAGAAAGGCUGGAUUAAAAUCUAUGUUCAAUCACAAAGCACACUGGGUGAUUUGGGGUCAAACUUUGCUGGAUUGCUAUGAGGAUAAAAUGAAUAAAUUGAAAAAAAGAAUAUGUGAAGAUGUCCAUGUUUGUGUGGGGGAGAAAGAUAGAAAAGCAAAUGUCAAGCUCCAUGGAGAAGUGGCCUAAUAAAAGUGAAACCUAUGCCAACAACUUUAUUUCUGAAAUUUAUCUUCAACUUUCCAGACAAAUAUGCUUCAAAAUUGUCGUAAAUAAAUUAAAAUGAGAAUAAAAUAACUAAAGAAGGAAAGCUAAAGCGACAGAAUGAACCACUUUACAAGCAGAAGAGCGGGGGGGGGGGGGCGGCGACUCCCUGGAGGCCUGAAUGGGACCAGUGAGGACUAGAGGCAAUCUUUGAAUGGGUUCAAUUGGUGCUACUAUUAUCACAAUUUGUCUCCUUGCCUUGCUUUCAACAGAAGGAGAAAACUGUUGAAAUAAAAUCUUAGCAAUCUCUCUGCUUUUCAUGAACUACAGAAUCUCUGGGUCCCAAACCAUAAAAUUUAUAUUUUUGUUUCACUUUCCUGAAAUCAAUUAUCUAUUUGUUUAUUUGUAUCCCGCUUGUAUUAUUUUUACAAACGUCCCAAGGCGGUGAAUAUAUCAAACACAUUUUCUUCCUUCUAUUUUCCCCACAACAACUCUGUGAGGUGGGUUGAGCUGAGAGAGAGUC